rnacentral:rRNA from 1 species
UACGGAGGAUGCAAGCGUUAUCCGGAUUUAUUGGGUUUAAAGGGUGCGCAGGUUGUUUGAUAAGUCAGUGGUGAAAGUCUGUCGCUUAACGGUAGGAUUGCCAUUGAUACUGUUAGACUUGUAUAUGGAUGAGGUAGGCGGAAUGUGUAGUGUAGCGGUGAAAUGCAUAGAUAUUACACAGAACACCGAUUGCGAAGGCAGCUUACUAAUCCAUCAUUGACGCUGAGGCACGAAAGCGUGGGGAUCAAACA